rnacentral:snRNA from 1 species
AUUGCUUCUUGACCUUUUGGCCAAUAUCAAGUGUAGUACCUGUUCUUAUCAGUUUAAUAUCUGAUAUGUCCUCUGAGGACAAUAUAUUAAAUGGAUUUUUGGAGUAGGGAGAUGGAAUAGGUGCUUGCUCCGUCCACUCCCCACAUCAACCUGGUAUUGCAGUACCUCCAGAAAUGGUUAACUAAAA